rnacentral:rRNA from 1 species
GACGAACGCUGGCGGCGUGCCUAACACAUGCAAGUCGAGCGGGGUAUCGAAGGAGUAAUCUGGAGGUAUCUUAGCGGCGGACGGGUGAGUAACGCGUGAGCGACCUACCUUCAACAGGGGGAUAACGGAGGGAAACCUUCACUAAUACCGCAUAAGACCACAGCAUCGCAUGGUGCGGGGGUCAAAGGAGCAAUCCGGUGGAAGAUGGGCUCGCGUCCUAUUAGAUAGUUGGUGGGGUAACGGCCUACCAAGUCAACGAUGGGUAGCCGACCUGAGAGGGUGAUCGGCCACAUUGGAACUGAGAGACGGUCCAAACUCCUACGGGUGGCAG